UACAGAGGUCUCAAGCGUUUGUUCGGAUUCAUUGGGCGUAAAGGGUGCGUAGGUGGCGGGGUAAGUCAGGUGUGAAAUCUCGGGGCUCAACCCCGAAACUGCACUUGAUACUGCCUUGCUCGAGUACUGGAGAGGAGAUUGGAAUUUACGGUGUAGCAGUGAAAUGCGUAGAUAUCAGGAGGAACACCGGUGGCGAAGGCGGGUCUCUGGGCCGAUACUGACGCUGAGGAGCGAAAAGCGUGGGGAGCAAACAGG
rnacentral:rRNA from 1 species